GAUUAAACAGGAUGAAAUUCAGUAAGGACAAAUGCAAAAUACUCCACUUAGGAAGGAACAAUCAUCUGUACACAUACAAAAUGGGAAGUGAUUGCCUAGGAUGGAGUACUGCAUAAAGGGAUCUGGGGUCAUAGUGGAUCACAAGCUAACUAUGACAGGAUUCAGAGUAGCAGCUGUGUUAGUCUGUAUCCACAAAAGGAAA